UACGUAGGCAGCGAGCGUUGUUCGGAAUUACUUGGCGUAAAGAGUGUGUAGGCGGUGCUCCCAGUCUGUUGUGAAAUCUCCCGGCUUAACUGGGAGGGUGCAGCGGAAACUAGAGUGCUAGAGGGUGGGAGAGGUAAGCGGAAUUCCUGGUGUAGCGGUGAAAUGCGUAGAUAUCAGGAGGAACACCUGUGGUGUAGACAGCUUACUGGACCACUUCUGACGCUGAGACACGAAAGCGUGGGUAGCAAACAGG
rnacentral:rRNA from 1 species